UACGUAGGGGGCAAGCGUUGUCCGGAAUUAUUGGGCGUAAAGCGCGCGCAGGCGGUCAUGUAAGUCUGGUGUAUAAGGCUGGGGCUCAACCCCGGAUCGCACUGGAAACUGUGUGACUUGAGUGCAGAAGAGGAGAGCGGAAUUCCACGUGUAGCGGUGUAAUGCGUAGAGAUGUGGAGGAACACCAGUGGCGAAGGCGGCUCUCUGGUCUGUAACUGACGCUGAGGCGCGAAAGCGUGGGGAGCAAACAGG
rnacentral:misc_RNA from 1 species